rnacentral:rRNA from 1 species
AAACUUGAGCUAAUACCGGAUACGCCCUUACGGGGAAAGAUUAUUGCCGAAGGAWCGGCCCGCGUCSGAUUAGCUAGUUGGUGAGGUAAUGGYUCACCAAGGCGACGAUCCGUAGYUGKUCUGAGAGGAUGAYCAGCCUCACUGGGACUGAGACACGGCCCAGAYUCCUACGGGAGGCAGCAGUGGGGAAUAUUGGACAAUGGGCGCAAGCCUGAUCCAGCCAUSCCGCGUGRAUGAUGAAGGCCUUAGGGUUGUAAAGUCCUUUYAMCSGGGAAGAUAAUGACSGUACCCGUAUAAUAAGCCCCGGCUAACUUC